rnacentral:rRNA from 1 species
UACGUAGGUGGCAAGCGUUGUCCGGAUUUACUGGGCGUAAAGAGCGCGCAGGCGGUCGGAUAAGUCGAGUGUGAAAGCCCCUGGCUCAACCAGGGAGGGUCAUUCGAUACUGUUCGACUCGAAGGCAGGAGAGGGAAGUGGAAUUCCGGGUGUAGUGGUGAAAUGCGUAGAGAUCCGGAGGAACACCAGUGGCGAAGGCGACACGCUGGGCCGUACCUGACACUGAUGCGCGACAGCAUGGGGAGCAAACAGG